GCAGCAAAGUUAAGAAUUUUAGUAAAUUUUUGGUCUUCGCUUUUACUUGCAAUUGUUGUUUAUUGUAGUUUGGUUUUUAACAAGCUCACUUUUGUUUUUAUUCCAUAGCAUCAGUCAAGCCAGCAACCAUGAACUGUUUUAUCUGUUUAAAGCCAGCAAAUUUCAAGGAGCCAUGCUCACAGUGUGACCACUUAAUAUGCCAACAUUGCAGCAAAGUUUGUGAUCAUUGUGCAAGGAUUUGCUGUUCACUCUGCUCGUUCAAUGAUUAUAAUGAAGUUCGUGAUCGGGUUUUCUGUUAUGGCUGCUUCCCUUGAAGACACUCAGUUUUGAAUCCGCUCUAACUUGUAUAGAAAUGUUCAUAAUGCAUUAACUUGAUCACUUUCAUACUUAAAUGGAAGUGAAAUCUAAUGUUGUAAUAUAGUGUUUUUAAUCUGUAUUUGUAUAAAUAAAACUUUGUAUAAAUUUUUGCAUUA